GGAGAGGCAGAACUCCCCUGAGCCCCUCCCUCUUGGAGCUGUGGUGGCCCCAGGCAGCCACUAAGCUGUCCAAGUUGGUGAGUGCACGGUGGUAACGACAUGGUGAAAUACUGAAGCCCACGGCCUCCUCAGACAUAACAGUUCCGUUUCCUAGCUGGGUGUGGUAGAGCCAGUGUCGUGGGGGACAGCCCGGAAACCCAGUAAGCCAUCCUGGUGCAGGGCUUGGCCUCAGUAGUAAAGUCCCCCACUCCUAUCUGUGUCGGGAUCGGCCACAGUAACCCCAGCCGGUGCUUGCGGUGGGGUCGGGGUUCGGCACAGUCAUGAAACCCGCUCCCGAGGAAACCCAACCCAAGACAGCCCUUGAAGUGAGGACCCAAGUCAGCUCAGCCAGAGGCCCCAGCUCCCUGGCAGCAGCAAUUGGUCCACGACUGGACAUGGGGACUGAGUGGGACCCAUCCGCAUCCACACGUCAGAGUCACUGGGGCUGAGGGAGCAGUGGCUGCUGGGUUCCCUGCACUGUGGACAAGUCUGUCAGCAGCAGGAGAGAACGUGGCCCUCAGAAAAGACAGUGAGAGUGACAGCAAGCUUGCCAUACCGCCCCGGCUCCAGUCCCUGAGGGUCUGGUCACCACAUUUUCUGCUCUAAAUAUUUUAUAUUUACUUUUGAGAACACCGAAGAAGGGGGCUGAUGAACCUCCUGGACCAGGGUGAUGCCCUAUGUCUGAGGUCACUCUGAUGUCUCUCAUCGCCA
rnacentral:lncRNA from 1 species